AAUGAACGCUGGCGGCAUGCCUUACACAUGCAAGUCGAACGGCAGCAUGACCUAGCUUGCUAGGUUGAUGGCUAGUGGCGCACGGGUGAGUCAUGCAUCGGAACGUGCCUUUUAGUGGGGGAUAACGUAGCGAAAGUUACGCUAAUACCGCAUAUUCUCUGAGGAGGAAAGCAGGGGACUUUCGGGCCUUGCGCUAGAAGAGCGGCCGAUGUCGGAUUAGCUAGUUGGUGAGGUAAAGGCUCACCAAGGCAACGAUCCGUAGCGGGUCUGAGAGGAUGAUCCGCCACACUGGGACUGAGACACGGCCCAGACUCCUACGGGAGGCAGCAGUGGGGAAUUUUGGACAAUGGGCGCAAGCCUGAUACAGCCAUGCCGCGUGAGUGAAGAAGGCCUUCGGGUUGUAAAGCUCUUUCGGCUGGGAAGAAAUCGCACCCUCUAAUACAGGGUGUGGAUGACGGUACCAGCAUAAGAAGCACCGGCUAACUACGUG
rnacentral:rRNA from 1 species